AUGAUUCUGUUGUUUGUAAGCAUAAUGAUUGAAUGUUCAUGCAUCUAUGUGAUGGGGACCUGCCUCAAACCUUGUUACAGUGUUGGCAUUACCUAUAUAAUA
ensembl:snoRNA